UCUUUUAUUAUUGUGUGAUAAGGUCCGGACAAAGAGUACGUACAUGUUGCAUCCCAAAUUGCGAAGACACGACGUCUCGUAGACAUCGCUUUCCAAGCAAUAAGGAUUGUUAGAUAUUUGGAUUGCAAGAAUAAACAACCCAAAACAUGCUUCACUGACUUCUAGACAAACAGCAGUUAGCCAGUUUAUAUGCGAGUCACAUUUUGCAGAAAUCAAUAUAAACAGACAAUCAACAAAAAGAAUUUUAAAUGGAUCUAUUCCGACAUUGAAUAUUCCAGGAUUUCAUGAGGAUCCAACGAGUGAAAACUGUUUUUAUUUUCCUGCAAAAUCAACAGAAGUGACUACAGAAGCAGUUCCAAGCCCUAUAUCUGCAGAAACGGAAAUGUUAGCUGUACCAGGAACAUCAAAAGAUAUAAGCCCUGAAGUGAAAUUAUUAAGGACGACUCCCUCAAAAAAAAAGUUUAUGGGAAAACUGCAAGAAGGUAGUUAAUAGCAACAUCGGUAUCUCAUUUAGCAGGUAAUUUUAUGCUUCUGAAAAUAUUUAUCGUAAAAUUACGAGUAACCACUUUGAAAUUACUUGUGUAUUUAACUAAAUACUUAUAUGUAUAUGAUUGUUAAAUGGGAGCCUAUCUAAAAUUUCUCAAAAGCUAGAAAAAAUAGUUGUAAUUAGACUUAA